rnacentral:lncRNA from 1 species
GGAUUCCACGCCCAAGUGCAUUUAGUAGGAUUCUACAGGGCCCGGGCCACUCACUGCAUGACAUCCAAGCCUUGUCACAUCUGAACUCUUCCUAAGACUUUCAGGAUAUUCCAACUGCUACUGUAUCUGCUUCCCUGUGGAUUCUGCCUGGACUAUUGUGGAGUGAAGCGACUGGAUGCAGACCUAUUCCUGAAUGUCCCAAAGAAUUGAGGAACGAGUCAAGCUUCUGUCUGUGGAAUAACGCUUCUAAAACCGUAGUGGUAAUCAAUGGG